rnacentral:ribozyme from 2 species
UGUUUAACUCCGCCUGUAGCCCAUGCGGAGGCUACUGCCGGUCCCAAGCCCGGAUAAAGGAGGAGGGUUGGGCA